rnacentral:rRNA from 1 species
ACAUAGGGUGCAAGCGUUGUCCGGAAUUAUUGGGCGUAAAGAGCUCGUAGGUCGUUUGUUACGUCGGAUGUGAAAUCCUGAGGCUCAACCUCAGGCCUGCAUUCGAUACGGGCAAACUAGAGUUUGGUAGGGGAGACUGGAAUUCCUGGUGUAGCGGUGGAAUGCGCAGAUAUCAGGAGGAACACCAAUGGCGAAGGCAGGUCUCUGGGCCAAUACUGACACUGAGGAGCGAAAGUCUGGGGAGCGAACAGGAUUAGAUACCCUGGUAGUCCACGCCGUAAACGGUGGGUGCUAGUUGUGGGCCACAUUCCACGUGGUCCGUGACGAAGUUAACACAUUAAGCACCCCGCCUGGGGAGUACGGUCGCAAGACUA